rnacentral:rRNA from 1 species
CCUACGGGAGGCAGCAGUAGGGAAUCUUCGGCAAUGGGCGAAAGCCUGACCGAGCAACGCCGCGUGAAUGAAGAAGGCCUUCGGGUUGUAAAAUUCUGUUAUAAGGGAAGAAAGGUGAUAGGAGGAAAUGACUAUCAAUUGACGGUACCUUAUGAGAAAGCCACGGCUAACUACGUGCCAGCAGCCGCGGUAAUACGUAGGUGGCAAGCGUUAUCCGGAAUUAUUGGGCGUAAAGAGCGCGCAGGUGGUCCUGCAAGUCUGGAGUGAAACGCAUGAGCUCAACUCAUGCAUGGCUUUGGAAACUG